UGGAAGUCGUACUUGCCAUGAGAUAAGAAAAAUAAAAAUAGCAUUCGGGUUAGUACAUUCUAGUCUGGCUAAUCCAUAGUUAUUAAACAGUUUGGAAAAGGACAUUUUUCCAUGUAUUGCCCACAAGGAGGAGGUGGGAGUUGAGAAUGUAGGUGUCAUAAGAAGUGGGUCAUGUAGCAAGGAAUUUUCCACAAGGAGGGGUCAUUGGUGGCAGCAAGUGUUACAAGUGUCACGAAGUUGGCCACACCUCGAAAGGCUGUACGAAUCUAUUCGUGAAUUGACGAAAAACGGAAAGCCGCGUGAACAAUACAUUCCGGAAGCUGUGACAUGCGAUGAAAAUGAACUGUUUAAGUGGGAUCAUCUGUGGGGAACGCUUUAACAAUUUUGAUAAACUCGUUCUCCAUCGAAUCCAGCUAAGGCAUUUUUCGAAACAGUAUUUUAUGAU